GACGAACGCUGGCGGCGUGCUUAACACAUGCAAGUCGAGCGGUAAGGCCUUUCGGGGUACACGAGCGGCGAACGGGUGAGUAACACGUGGGUGAUCUGCCCUGCACUUCGGGAUAAGCCUGGGAAACUGGGUCUAAUACCGGAUAUGACCUCCUAUCGCAUGGUGGGUGGUGGAAAGAUUUAUCGGUGCAGGAUGGGCCCGCGGCCUAUCAGCUUGUUGGUGGGGUAAUGGCCUACCAAGGCGACGACGGGUAGCCGACCUGAGAGGGUGACCGGCCACACUGGGACUGAGACACGGCCCAGACUCCUACGGGAGGCAGCAGUGGGGAAUAUUGCACAAUGGGCGAAAGCCUGAUGCAGCGACGCCGCGUGAGGGAUGACGGCCUUCGGGUUGUAAACCUCUUUCAGCAGGGACGAGGCGCAAGUGACGGUACCUGCAGAAGAAGCACCGGCUAACUACGUG
rnacentral:rRNA from 1 species